rnacentral:rRNA from 1 species
GGAGUCUAACAUGUGCGCGAGUCAUUGGGUGUUACUAAACCUAAAGGCGCAAUGAAAGUGAAGGCUGCUUUGGAGUGGGCGGCCGAGGGAAGAUGGUACUGGGUUUCCAGGAUCCUCGUGGUCCAGGGCCCGGCCCGCAUUCCCGGGGCGUCUCGUCCUCACUGCGAGGUGAGGCGCACCUAGAGCGUACACGUUGGGACCCGAAAGAUGGUGAACUAUGCCUGGCCAGGACGAAGUCAGGGGAAACCCUGAUGGAGGUCCGUAGCGAUUCUGACGUGCAAAUCGAUCGUCGGAGCUGGGUAUAGGGGCGAAAGACUAAUCGAACCAUCUAGUAGCUGGUUCCCUCCGAAGUUUCCCUCAGGAUAGCUGUCACUCGGAGGAAAAUGGUAUGAGUCUCAUACGGUAAAGCGAAUGAUUAGAGGCCUUGGGGCCGAAACGACCUCAACCUAUUCUCAAACUUUAAAUGGGUGAGAACUCCGGCUUGCUUGGGAACUGAAGCCGGAGACGGAUAACGAGUGCCAAGUGGGCCACUUUUG